UGUAUUGAAACCAAGCCUGGAGCUCUGGGUGUGGAUACAGCCUCCAGCCUAGUAAAUCCCAGUGUGUGGCUGUGGAUGACAGAGCUGGUGGUGGCACCCUGGGGAGGUAAACCUGGGUACUUUGUGCCCCUUCUUCUCCUCACUGGGGGCAGAGAUUUGGGCUGAGAGACCCUUGGUCUGAGGCCCAAUGGCCAUUCGUAGAGACAUAGCCUGCUUUUAUCUUUUCCAGAGAGAGUAACCUGAGCUGUAAUAAAUUCUAGUUGCUGAGGGAGUGGGGCAGAGGACCCAUGCUUCACAAUCCAGUUCCCUUUGGAACAUUUCCCUGCACACCUUCUCCACCUGCCCCUGUACCCAGAAUGGGAGCGUGGAAUGAAGCAAGGGGAGAGAUCAGCACAGACCAGUCUUUGGGAAGGGAAGGGCUGGACUCUCAAACCAGCAGGCAGCUCUGGCAUCCCUGGAUGUGUUCACACUGCUCUUCCCAGGUCCCAGGGAGGUUAGGAGCUCAGCAGGAUGCCUUUGACAGAGCAGCUGGAAUGGGCAGCUUUAAGCAUCAGUGUCUGGAAUUGCAAGAAAGAAGAGGCACAUCUGUCCUCCCAAGAGGUGUCAGUAUUUCUGAAACAUCGCUUGGACAUGCUACUUCCUAGACGGAAUCUUCCAUCAUUGCCCUCCCUUCCCUGGAGCACCACACUGAGUGUGGCCAUGACAUGCUGGCAUGGAACUUACC